rnacentral:rRNA from 1 species
AGCGAAAUUCAUUGUCAAGUAAGUUUUGACCUGCACGAAAGGCGUAACGAUUUAAGCACUGUCUCGGAGAGAGGCUCGGUGAAAUAGACUUGUCCGUGAAGAUGCGGACUAUAUCUACUUGGACAGAAAGACCCUAUGAAGCUUUACUGUAUCCUGGAAUUGGGUUCGGGCUUUUCUUGCGCAGUCUAGGUGGGAGGCGACGAAGAUCUUCUUCCGGGAAGGUCAGAGCCAAAAUUGAGAGACCACUCUGGAAGAGCUAGAAUCCUAAGGGUGUUCUUAAAAGAAAUGUAUAAGACACUUAACAGUUUCAGGAGGGCAGUUUCACUGGGGCGGUGGCCUCCUAAAGCGUAACGGAGGUGUGCAAAGGUUCUUUCAGCCUGGACGGAAAUCAGGCAUUGAGUGCAAAGGCAAAAGGGAGCUUGACUGCAAGACCUACAAGUCGAGCAGGGGCGAAAGCCGGCCUUAGUGAUCCGACGAUUCCAUGUGGAAGGGUCGUCGCUCAACGGAUAAAAGUUACUCUAGGGAUAACAGGCUUAUUUUCCCCAAGAGUUCACAUCGACGGGAAAGUUUGGCACCUCGAUGUCGGCUCAUCACAUCCUGGAGCGGUAGUACGUUCCAAGGGUUGGGCUGUUCGCCCAUUAAAGUGGUACGUGAGCUGGGUUCAAAACGUUGUGAAACAGUUUGGUCCAUAUCCGGUAGAUACGUUAGAGCAUUGAUAGGAGCGUUUCAUAGUACGAGAGGACCUGAAACGACGUGCCAAUUGUGUACCAGUUCUCACUCCAGUGGGAAACGCUGGGUAGCUAUGCACGGAGACGAUAAAAGCUGACAGCAUCUAAGUUUGAAGCACACCUAGAGAUGAUUGCUCUUUUAAGGUCGCGGUAAGACAAACCGUUUGAUAGGUAUCAAGUGGAAGGCUAGUAAUAGUUGUAGCUGAGAUAUACUAAAGACCGUUAAAUUUUGAU